AUGAGGGAAGAAUAUGAGGACAGAGAAGGGAGGCGUGGCGGAGAGAACAAGUGUAUCUACUGUACGCAGUGUAGCUUCUCCCCAAGGACUACAGACUUUCAGCAGUUCCACACAUUCCUGAGUAGAUCCAUGGUUUGUAUGAGUAGAUUAUCAUUAUUAUUUGAGUUUGUGUGGAAUCUCAAAAAGGAACUAGGUUUCACAUAUGUAACAAAUUGGUGUUACCCUGAGACAGCCCCUCUGGAAACAAAGUGUAGAGGUAGAACAGGCCCUGAAAUUCCCGUAAAUCUUUCAGGUCUAUUCAUUUCCACAGGCUAUGAAGUUGCCAAGGUUUGCCCAAUUUUACCUAGAACUUUUGGUUCCAAAGAAUGGAAAAGAAUACUUCAAGAAAACAAAUGCUGAUUUUUCAUGAGUAAAAUGUUCCUGUUCCUUCUUGUUUUCAACUAAGACACAAGUAAAUUGCUGAGCUACAACAUGGAAAAUUUGAGCAUUUUGAAAAGGCUGGCGCUUUCAAAAUACCACCAAUAUAACUAAAGUUUAUUGUCUAUAACCAUCUACUGUCCCACAUGCUUAUCUGGAAAGGCGUGCCCUGCAAGGGAUGUGGAACCAUAAAAGGCAAUUGUCCUUGGUAGAGACAACAGCUUCCUGGAAUUCAACAGUCCUGUUUCCUGUAAUUUUCAUCUUUGGGAAAACCAUUAUUUCUAUGAGAUGUGACAUUUAUUUAUGGUAUUGUUUUUUAAAAAAUCGUCUAACUUGAGCCAUUUUCUAAUACCUACAUAAGGACAAAAUUAUAACUUGAGCCUCAGAUAAAAUUCAUCCACAAACACUCUCGUAUUUAUCAACUCAAAAAAAGAAAACCACCACACACUUUCAUAUUCUUUAAUAUACCCUAUGGUUAAAAGAAUAUUUUAAUUUUAACAGCAUGACCACCAUGAAUUUUUCCUUAUUUUAGAUAUAUAACUAGUUAAAACAUUAUUGGACUUUUUUUCGUGGUGCAUUGCAAAAGCAUUGAACAAAAUCCCAAUGUACAAAAUUUUACUCAUUGCAUAGACAUCAUGCUCACACCAAGACAAAAGAGAGUUCUUUGUAAUACAUGCACCUGGGUUGUUUGAACCGCUUGAUUGCUUCUCAAUAAUUUACAAAACAGAAAAAGAGUUACGGACUCUAAUAUGAGAUUAAAGAUUAGGUCAGAAACGUUAAAUAAAGGAAACUUCUAUUCAAAGAACA
rnacentral:lncRNA from 1 species